UACGUAGGGUGCAAGCGUUAAUCGGAAUUACUGGGCGUAAAGCGUGCGCAGGCGGUGAUGUAAGACAGAUGUGAAAUCCCCGGGCUCAACCUGGGAACUGCAUUUGUGACUGCAUCGCUGGAGUGCGGCAGAGGGGGAUGGAAUUCCGCGUGUAGCAGUGAAAUGCGUAGAUAUGCGGAGGAACACCGAUGGCGAAGGCAAUCCCCUGGGCCUGUUCUGACGCUGAGGAGCGAAAGCGUGGGGAGCAAACCGG
rnacentral:rRNA from 1 species